AUUGAACGCUGGCGGCAUGCCUUACACAUGCAAGUCGAACGGCAGCACGGGUGCUUGCCCCUGGUGGCGAGUGGCGAACGGGUGAGUAAUACAUCGGAACAUGUCCUGUAGUGGGGGAUAGCCCGGCGAAAGCCGGAUUAAUACCGCAUACGAUCUACGGAUGAAAGCGGGGGACCUUCGGGCCUCGCGUUAUAGGGUUGGCCGAUGGCUGAUUAGCUAGUUGGUGGGGUAAAGGCCUACCAAGGCGACGAUCAGUAGCUGGUCUGAGAGGACGACCAGCCACACUGGGACUGAGACACGGCCCAGACUCCUACGGGAGGCAGCAGUGGGGAAUUUUGGACAAUGGGCGAAAGCCUGAUCCAGCAAUGCCGCGUGUGUGAAGAAGGCCUUCGGGUUGUAAAGCACUUUUGUCCGGAAAGAAAUCCUUGGCCCUAAUACGGUCGGGGGAUGACGGUACCGGAAGAAUAAGCACCGGCUAACUACGUG
rnacentral:rRNA from 1 species